UGUGUGCAGUUAUUGGAGGACAGCUGCGUUUAAUUUUACAUCAUGGCGGCCGGAGUUUUAAGGACAGUCUUACGAAAAUCUGUUGGAUCGUAUACUGAUGCAGCAUUUCUUAUGCGAAAUGGAGCUCUAAUACAUCCUGUAACACAACUUCGCCAUAGUCAUGAUUGGGUGCCAGAUACUGAGUAUUUAAACACAUUAAAAUAUCCUCAAGCUUUGCCGGUUGAUAAUGUAAAAUGGCAAUUUCCAAAGCAACUAGAUGAUGAAAAAUAUGAGACAGUGAAAAAUAUACAAAUUAAUUUUGGUCCUCAACAUCCUGCAGCUCAUGGAGUGUUACGUUUGAUAUUAGAAUUAGAUGGAGAAGUUGUGAUUAGAGCUGAUCCACAUAUUGGUCUGUUGCAUCGAGCUACAGAAAAGCUUAUAGAAUAUAAGACUUAUAUGCAGGCAUUACCUUACUUCGAUCGUUUAGAUUAUGUUUCUAUGAUGUGUAAUGAGCAAUGUUUCUCUUUAGCAAUUGAAAAAUUAUUAAAUAUAGAUGUACCUCUGCGUGCAAAAUAUAUUCGAGUAUUAUUUGCGGAACUCACUCGUAUUUUAAAUCAUAUUAUGGGAAUAGGAACUCAUGCAUUGGAUGUAGGUGCAAUGACCCCUUUCUUUUGGUUGUUUGAAGAACGAGAAAAAUUAAUGGAAUUUUAUGAAAGAGUUAGCGGAGCUCGUAUGCAUGCUGCUUAUAUACGACCUGGUGGAGUGUCUUUGGAUCUUCCAUUAGGUUUAUUAGAUGAUAUUCAUGAAUGGGCUUCGCAAUACGGUGAAAGAGUGGAUGAAGUAGAAGACAUGUUGACUGAAAACAGAAUAUGGAUUCAACGUACAAAGGAUAUUGGUGUAAUUAAAGCACAAGAUGCAUUAAAUAUGGGCUUUAGUGGAGUAAUGUUACGAGGAUCUGGAAUUAAAUGGGAUUUAAGAAAAACUGCACCAUAUGAUGCAUAUGAUUUAGUUGACUUUGAUGUUCCUAUAGGUGUAAAUGGAGAUUGCUAUGACAGGUAUCUCAUUCGCGUUGAGGAAAUGCGUCAGUCUCUUAGGAUAAUCGAGCAAUGCUUAAAUAAAAUGCCACCUGGCGAAGUGAGAUGUGAUGAUGCUAAAGUUGUCCCACCGCGUAGAGAAGAAAUGAAAAGUAGUAUGGAAGCUUUAAUUCAUCAUUUUAAAUUAUAUACACAAGGCUUCCAGGUACCACCUGGUGCUACAUAUACAGCUAUUGAAGCACCCAAGGGUGAAUUUGGAGUUUAUCUCGUGAGUGAUGGUACUAGUAAACCAUAUCGAUGUAAGAUCAAGGCUCCUGGAUUUGCACACUUGGCUUGUUUAAAGCAUAUAGGACCAGGUCAUAUGCUUGCUGAUAUUGUAGCUAUUAUUGGUACACUGGAUGUAGUGUUUGGUGAAAUUGACAGAUAAAAUGUUGGUAAUUGUAAAUUUGUAGUAGAUAAUUUUGGCAUGAUCAUUUAUUAAUAUCAUUAAGAGAACAUAUAUAACAAUAUUUAUGAUCAUCUUGGGAUACAUUUUUUUCUUAAUAACGUUUAUUACAUGCUCGAAGAAAUGAUCCAAAGGUUUCACAAGUUUCAAUUAUCUUAUAAAUAGUUAUUUUGAUUUUUUGUAAUUUCAUACAAUGAAGUAAACAAAAAUGCCGGACGAAUUAUUCCAAGGUGGAUAUAUGGCGAUGAUUUAAUUAUACGUAUGCGUUUCACGUCAAUGUCAUUGGAAAGAAACCAUCCCAAUGUAAAAAAAUAUAAAACGACUUCUUAUUAUGCGUACGUUCAUAAGAGGAAGAAGUUUUGUAUCUAUGGUCUACGUGACCGAUCUAUAACGCAAACGUACGGAGUUUUAAAAUUCCCGCCGAUCCUUACGCGUUUGUUCUUUUAAAUGAAAGAUCUCUGUCUUCUUUUUUUCUUUUCUUCUUUCUUUUUUUUUCUUAUGUAAAGAUUAGAAAAAAGCGGUGCUUGAUGUAAAACAUAUUACUUAUAAAAAUCAACGAAGGAGCAACAACAACGUGGUCAAUCGCGCGCAUGGCAUUGGUAAGGAGCCACUACGUGGUCAGAAUUUUAAUUUCGACAACGUUCCUUAAUCUUACACAAUAAUCUUGCGUUAUAUAGAUGUUUUGAACUCCGAUGAUCGUUACAAGAAUAAUAUUAAGGAUUAAGAACGCAAUAUAUGUUACGAAUGGAUAAAUGAACAUUCCUUGUUUAAUCGUUAUACUGUAUAUUUGGAUUAUAAAAAUAUGUAUAAAUGCACUCGUCGAUAGAAAAUUUGUAAAUAACGUAUCGUACAUAUCGAAUUUUAGUCACGAUACGAAUCAUGAAUAUCGUGGACCUAGUAUAACAUUUGGCAUUCGAACGUCGUCGAACUCGACACGGUGGUCUUCAAUUCGAUCUUACGAUAUCGCAUGAUCGAGGAAAUCGUAUUUACAACAUCAAUGCCAUUGACACGGAAUCCUAAAAUAGUCUGACAUAAUCACGUCUUAUAAAAUCGAUUGCAUAAUUUUAUAAUAUGAUGGAUAUUUGGAACAUUAUGUGAAAGAAACGUUCAUGUUUUAUAAAAUA